UACAGAGGGUGCAAGCGUUAAUCGGAAUUACUGGGCGUAAAGCGUGCGCAGGCGGUUUUGUAAGUCUGUCGUGAAAUCCCCGGGCUCAACCUGGGAAUUGCGAUGGAGACUGCAAGGCUAGAAUCUGGCAGAGGGGGGUAGAAUUCCACGUGUAGCAGUGAAAUGCGUAGAGAUGUGGAGGAACACCGAUGGCGAAGGCAGCCCCCUGGGUCAAGAUUGACGCUCAUGCACGAAAGCGUGGGGAGCGAACAGG
rnacentral:rRNA from 1 species